AUGAACGCUGGCGGCGUGCCUAAUCCAUGCAAGUCGAGCGAACAGAUGAGGAGCUUGCUCCUCUGACGUUAGCGGCGGACGGGUGAGUAACACGUGGAUAACCUACCUAUAAGACUGGGAUAACUUCGGGAAACCGGAGCUAAUACCGGAUAAUAUAUUGAACCGCAUGGUUCAAUAGUGAAAGACGGUUUUGCUGUCACUUAUAGAUGGAUCCGCGCCGCAUUAGCUAGUUGGUAAGGUAACGGCUUACCAAGGCAACGAUGCGUAGCCGACCUGAGAGGGUGAUCGGCCACACUGGAACUGACACACGGUCCAGACUCCUACGGGAGGCAGCAGUAGGGAAUCUUCCGCAAUGGGCGAAAGCCUGACGGAGCAACGCCGCGUGAGUGAUGAAGGUCUUCGGAUCGUAAAACUCUGUUAUUAGGGAAGAACAAAUGUGUAAGUAACUAUGCACGUCUUGACGGUACCUAAUCAGAAAGCCACGGCUAACUACGUG
rnacentral:rRNA from 1 species